rnacentral:sRNA from 1 species
UGGUGUUCGCGCCCAUUCCGUCAACAGUCAUGUGGAAAGCUUUACAUUCAAAGAUACUAAAGGUUUCGUGGACCCUACUCAUAUGUAACUCUUUUAUACCUUGUCGGUCACAGGACGUUUUUUCACCAACAGCUUUUACCCAAGGUCUAUCUUCUUUCAAUAAUGGUUUUUCAAACUUUGGUAAUGCUAUAAAUGGAUUUUCUACUGGAACAGGAGGUGCGGACGGAGCUUUCUUAGCCAGUGGCGGAGUUCCCACGAUCGGAGGACCCGGAACGGGUGGGGGUUUCACUUUCGGGGCUGGAGCCGGUCCAGGUUUCUUUGACGGCGGCGCUGGAGCCGUAGGCGCGGGUGGUGGCGUGCCUGUUGUCGGCGGGGGCACUGGCGGUUUUACUGGAGCCGGUGCAACACCAUUCACUUUUGGAGGAACCGGUUUUGGGGCUCCUGGCGGAGUAACAUUUGGUGGCGGAGAUGGCGCUGGAUUUGUUGGUGGUGGCGGUGGGAUACCUGUCGCCGGUGGAGGGGUCGGGUUUGGAGGACCAGGAGUCGGAUUUGGAGGACAAGUGGGCGGAGUUGGAGGAGGACCAGCGUUUGGUGACGGAGGAGUCGGAUUUAUAGGAGACGGAUUUGGAGGGCCAGGGGGCGGAUUUGGCGGCGGCGGAGGACCAGGGUUUGGUGAUGGAGGAGGGGGAUUUGGCGGCGGCGGAGGACCAGUGUUUGGUGAUGGAGGAGGUGGAUUUGGCGGCGGAGGACCAGGGUUUGGCGAUGGAGGAGGCGGAUUUGGCGGCGGAGGACCAGGGUUUGGUGACGGAGGAGGCGGAUUUGGCGGCGGAGGGCCAGCGUUUGGUGACGGAGGAGAUGGAUUUGGAGGGGGCGGAGGAGUAACAAUUAUAAACGGUGGUGCGGGAGGAAUACUAGGAGGUGGCGGAGGAAUACCAAUCGCUGUUGGAGGUGGAGGAGGACUCGCGGGAACGGGUGGAGUUACAAUUGUGGACGGCGGAACAGGAGUUGGAGGAUUGGGUGUAACUGGACCUGGAGGUGUCACAAUUCUGGGCGGAGGAGGUACAGGACUUGGAACUGGGGGGGCCUUUGUUGGACCAGAUCCUUUAGGUCCUGGCAGUGGAGUUUUUGUUGGUCCUGGAACAGGUACAGGAACUGGUGGGGCUAUUACUCUUGGAGGAGGAGUAAGUGGUGGUCUUCCAUUCGGUAGCUUUGUUGGCCCAGAACCAGCAAUUCCGACAACAGGAUUUGGUGGAACGACAGUAAUAACUUCCCCUGUCUCAGUUUCUCCUGCUGUGCCAUCUAUAGGACUAUACCCUGGAGGGGGUGGUAUUAGUGGUGGACUUGGAGGUUUAGAUGGUGGAUUUGGUGGAUUUGGCAGUGGUGGGGUUGGUGGUUUUGGUGGUAUAGAUGGAGGACUUGAUGUAUUUGGCGGCGGGGGUCUAGGCGGUGGUGGUGGAUUUGGCAGUUUUGGUGGUGGCGGACUUGGGGAUGGCGGUUUUGGCAGCGGCGGACUUGGGAGUGGCGGUUUUGGCAGCGGCGGACUUGGGGGUGGCGGCGGACUUGGCGGCGGCGGUUUUGGCAGCGGCGGACUUGGGGGUGGCGGACUUGGGGGUGGCGGACUUGGCGGCGGCGGUUUUGGCAGCGGCGGACUUGGGGGUGGCGGUCUUGGCGGCGGUGGACUUGGGGGUGGUGGUGGACUUGGAGGAUUUGGCAGCGGCGGACUUGGGGGUGGCGGUCUUGGCGGCGGUGGACUUGGAGGAUUUGGCAGCGGCGGACUUGGGGGUGGCGGUCUUGGCGGCGGUGGACUUGGAGGAUUUGGCAGCGGCGGACUUGGGGGUGGCGGUCUUGGCGGCGGUGGACUUGGGGGAUUUGGCAGUGGCUUUGGUGGAAGUGGUUUUGGAAGUUUAGGGGGUGGAGGUCUAGGCGGAUGGGGAUUACAAGGAGGAUUAGGCAGUGCAUAUGGUUUAGGAGGAAGUGGAAGCUGGUGGUCUUCAUUUUCACAAAGUGGCAUAUUCCCAUGGGCAUUAGCAGCAGGAACUAUCGCUCUAGCAUCAUCGUUGAAUGGGGGAGGAGGAGGGCUUUUUGGGUUUUUUGGCGGAGGUAGUAGCAGUGGGAGCAGCGGUGGGACCGUGGCAGCGGCUUCCGGUUCUGGUACCGGUUUCGGCUUUGUGGCUCCUACAACACCAGCUACAAGCAGUCUUUGUCCAACUCGUAAAAAUCCAACGGCAUGUUCAUGGUGUUACGCAGCUGCUAAAACAAAAACGGCUUGUGACGCAGUUGCGACCGGAAAGAACGGCACGGAUGAUCCCCAGAACACUACUACGGACGCUUCAGGGGACGACUGUCUGUGGUAUAGUGACACAAACGUAUGUCUGAACGACGAGGGAGCGGCUUAAUAGACUCGUGUUAUUUGUUAUAAUUCGUAAAAUUGAAUUGAUAAAGCUAUUAAAAUGCGUUUUUCUUGUUGUUUUCUGAAUUGCACCCGAAACACUCACCACGUCGAUAAAUGUUAGACCAUGUUAUUAGCACCGGGUCAUUGUUAAAAAAUGUUCAUUUUCACAAGUGUAUG